CUAUACAUGACUCUGCGCAUAUCAAUAAGCGGAGGAAAAGAAACUAACAAGGAUUCCCCUAGUAACGGCGAGUGAAGCGGGAAGAGCUCAAAUUUGAAAUCUUCAAGGGUUUACCUUUACGAAUUGUAGUUUAAAGAAGUGUUUUCUGCUGAGGUUUUGGUAAAAGUUCUUUGGAAUAGGACAUCAUAGAGGGUGAGAAUCCCGUAUUUGACCAUUACUUUUCAACUUUGUGAUACACUUUCAAAGAGUCGGAUUGUUUGGGAAUGCAGUCCAAAAUGGGUGGUAAAUUUCAUCUAAAGCUAAAUAUUGGCGAGAGACCGAUAGCGAACAAGUACCGUGAGGGAAAGAUGAAAAGAACUUUGAAAAGAGAGUUAAACAGUACGUGAAAUUGUCAAAAGGGAAGCGUUUGACACCAGUGUUGUUUUUCUGAAAAUCAAUUAAAGAACUGUUUAUGCUAAGUUGUUUAGACUUUAUCAGCUAACUGUUUAGUUUUGAGCUUUUCUUUAAUGCACUUUUCAGUUAACAAGUCAACAUCAAUUUCUUUUGCUGUAAAAAAGCUUGAGGAAGGUGGCUUGAGAUUCGUCUUAAGUGUUUAUAGCCUCUUGCCUAUGCAGUCGGAGAGAUUGAGGUCUGCAGCGUAGAUCCUUCGGGGCUAAAUGCAUUUGUGCUAAGUUAUAGCAUUUUAUAGACAACUUGUUGACUAUGAUUUGUCUUGUAGCUUACUCGCUUAUGUUAUUUUACCUACGCUUAGGAUGUUGACAGCAGUAUAGACUGU
rnacentral:rRNA from 1 species